rnacentral:lncRNA from 1 species
UUUUCUUAAAGAAUAUACGCGACACCCAUAAAAAUUCUCAUAUCUUAACAAACCCAUGCCCAUUAUACACAAAAACGACAAAAAAGGGCGAUUGAGACCCAAUACCCAUACCCUCCAUCAUCUUUCCAGGGCGGUAACAAUUGGAUUACAGAGAAACCCCUCACAAUUCUUUCACCACCGCACAUACACUCAUCAGAACACCCAUAAUUCACUCACCGGAAUUACCAUAUACACAAUACACAAAAAUAUUUUUGGGGUCUUUUUCUUUCUUCUCCAUUCAUAGAAAUAUAGGUACAGAGAGAGAGACACGGAUAGAGAGUAGAGAGACGCAAGGGAGAGAAGCAGUGAAGAGAGGCCAUCUCCGGCAACCCAAGCUCGCCGGAGCUUCGGCGAUUUGAAAAAAAAGAAAAGAAAACCCCCGCCCAUUCCGACCGCAAACCCAGAUUCCGGCGAGACCUUGCCGGAUUACACCACCCCACUACCGCCAAACUACCAGAGACGCCAAAACUAGUGAGAACAAUUCAAAUUCGACCAAAUCGUCGUCUUUUUGUCACUUUUUGAGCUCGCCGGAGCUCCGACUAAACGGAAAUAACGAGCUUGGCUUCGAUUCUGGCGAGACCCGUUCAAGCUUGGUUCGAAAUCUGAGAUUUGGGACUCGUUUUGUAGUUCCUCCGCUGGUUUGGGGUUUUGAUUGAGUUGGAUGUGAGAAGUUCGUGCGAGGUUUGAUUUGAGCUUGUUCGAGGUUCCGAGGUCCCGGCCAAUCGUUCUAUGUGUUUUGUAAUCAAAAUUCAACCCGAAAGGUUUGCAUCUUAAUCUCUUAUUCGAUUUUUCUGAAUGUUGGCCUGAUGAUUGUGUUUCCCUCGUUGUUGGUUGAUUCUGUUUGUGGUUCGCUUCUUUGAUUUCAUUUGGAACAAUUUAAUUAUUGUUAUGUCAUUGUUAACUUUGUGUUGAAAUUUUGUUAAUCACUGAAUGCAAAUUUAAUUUGAUUUGGUAUCCGAGUUGAUGAAUUGAUGGUUUCAAAAAGGGGGAAAAGGAAAUUGGAAAUGGAAAAAAUUAGAGCGACUAGCAUCCUUAACACUAUAAUUACAAUAAAUAGCAACACUUUUUUAAAAUUAUAAUUUAUAACAAAAGUAAUAAUAUUUUACUCACUUAUAAUAGAAGAAUAUAUAUUUUUCAAUUAUGCAUAUGGAUUUAUGAGUAAUACAUAUAUAUUUGUAUAUGUAUUUAUACGGCAACAUUUUACUUAAAUACAAAUACAAUUUACUAUUUUUCGUAAUUAUGAAACUGUUGCUAUAAAAGUUAUAAUUAAGUCUAUAGAGUUGCUAUUUCUGAAUUUUUUCCGUUGAAAAUUGUUAAAUCCGUAAUUCAUAGAUUUAUUUUGUAAUGUUGUAGUUUGGAGUUUAUUUUCAUUUGAUAGUAUUACGAUAGGCAAAUUUUAGGUCUUGGGGUAGGCAAUUCGUAGGAUUCCAAUCAUCGAAUGUGUAAUUAUUUGUGUUGACUGAUUUUCUUCAUUUUAUGGCAUUUUAUUAAAUAUAUUUAUUUAGUUGGGGAAUGCCCCAAAAUUUUUUGUAUUUAUUCACCGGAGAAUGCCCCGACGUAUUAUGUUGGCGGAGGAUGUUCGUGAUCAAGACCCGAGGCAUCGGAUAAAGCACGGGAGCAUAAUUCAAGGUUAGUGUAGGUUAGAAUAGAAUUUAUUUUCCGCAUUUUUAUUUUGGGGCUGUAUAAUUGGACUGAACACUAUAUUUUGAAUUUGUUUUGUUUCGUGUGUUUGAUGUUUGUUUAUGUGUUUUUGUGUGGUUUAUAUGUUUUUAGUGUCAAAAUUAGCCGAUACGCUCCACCAAGAGACCGUCGUCAAAUCACGGGAUCAAGGGGUGCCUAACACCUUCCCCUCGGUCAACAGAAUUCCUUAGCCGAAAUCUCUGUUCGCAAACCAGUUUAAAAGAGUCAAAAACAGUUUUGAAAAAGGAUUUUCAAAGGUGACUUGACACUCUCGAUUUAUGCCAAGUGGCGUCUCUGAGUUUUGAAUAUAAAAGGUCCUUUUCGAAACAAAUUUUCAUCUUUUGUCACUUAAUAAUAAAAUCCUUUUGAAACUUAAAAUCAAUCUUUUUGGAGUAGAAAAAAAGGGGUGUGGCAGUCACAUGUAUGUUUAUUAUCAACUCUCAAUAUAACUUUUGUGAGAUUAUUGGCUCAAAUAAUAAGGUUAAGAGCACAAUUUUCAGAUUAUGCAAUAAAGACUAUUCGUCUUGAUAAUGCUGGUGAGUUUACAUCUCAAUCCUUUAAUGAUUAUUGUAUGUCAAUUAGAAUAAAAGUUGAACAUUCGGUUGAUCAUGUUUACACUCAAAAUGGUAUAGCAGAAUCAUCGAUCAAAUGUCUUCAAUUGAUAGCUAGACCGAUGUUAAUGAGGACAAAACUUCCUGUUUCAACAUGGGGACAUGCUAUUUUGCAUGCAGCAACACUUGUGUGCAUAAGGCCAACUAGUUAUCAUAAAUUCUCCCCAUUACAGUUAAUUUUUGGUCAAGAACCAAAUAUUUUUCAUCUUAUAAUUUUUAAAUGUGCGGUAUAUGUUCUAAUUGCUUCACCACAAUGCACAAAGGUGGAACCCCAAAGAAGGUUGAGAAUAUAUAUUGGGUAGAAUCUCCUUCCAUUAUAAAAUUUUGAAACCUAUGACAGGAGAUUUGUUUACGGCAAGAUUUGCUGAUUGUUAUUUUGAUGAAUCAGUAUACCCAACAUUAGGGGGAGAACAUAAGCAACUGAAACAUGAGAUAGAUUGAAAUGCACUAUCACUAUCUCAUUUGGAUCCUCAAACAAAUCAAUGUUAGUAAGAGGUUCAAAAGAUGAUUUACUUACAAAAUAUUGUAAAUCAGCUACUGGAUGCAUUUAAUAACCUUCCAAAGGUUACUAAAUCAUAUAUUCUAGCUGCGAAUGCUCCAGUUCGAGUUGAUGUCCCGAUAGAACAAGUGGUUAAUGCAAAUGUGUUUAAGCCACGUUUGAAAUAUGGUAGACCAAUUGGUUCCAAGGAUAAAAAUUCUCAAAAAAAGAAAAGAAAUAAAUGAUCCAAAUGAUCACGAUAUGAUGACAGUCGCUCAAAAAGAGCCUCAAGAUCUAACAAAUGAUAAAACCGCUGAGGAGGUUAAAAUACCUGAAACUAAUGAGAAUAAAAACAUCUCAAUAAGUUAUGUCUCGAUGAGAAAUAGGUGGAAUCGAAAUAAUAUUGUGGUUGACAAUAUUUUUGCUUACAAUGUUGCUACUAAAAUAAUGCAACAAGAUGGGGAUUUGGAACCAAAAUCUAUCAAUGAAUGUAGAUAGAGAAAUGAUUGGCCAAAAUGAAAGGAUUCAAAAUUCAACCGGAAUUGACUUCACUUGAAAAACGUGAAGUUUUUGGACCAAUAGUUCGAACACCUGAAGGUGUCAAGCCAGUGGGGUACAAAUGGGUUUUUCUGCGAAGAUGAAAUGAAAAAGGUGAAGUCGUAAGAUAUAAAGCACGACAGCACGACAUGUGGCACAAGAUUUUUCGCAAAGGCCUGACAAUGAUCAUGCAGAGACAUAUUCUCCUUUGGUGGUGGAUGAAAUUACCUUCAGAUAUAUAAUAAAUCUGGCAAUUCAUGAAAAGCUUGAUAUGGAUCUAAUGGAUGUUGUCACGGCCUAUUUGUAUGGCUCAUUGGACAGUGAUAUUUUUAUGAAAAUUCCAGAGGCCUUCAAAGUACCUAAAGCAUAUAAAAAUUUGCAAGAAACUUGCUCAAUAAAACUUCAGAAUUCCUUAUAUGGAUUGAAACAAUCAGGACGGAUGUGGUAUAAUCGUCUUAGCGAAUAUUUGCUAAAAGAAGGGUACAAAAAUGAUCCUAUUUGCCCUUGUGUUUUUAUAAGAAGGUCUAGAUCCGAAUUUGCUAUAAUAGUUGUUUUUGUUGAUGACUUGAAUAUCAUUGGCACUCCCAAAGAACUUUCAAAAGUUGUUGAAUGUUUGAAGAAAGAUUUUGAAAUGAAAGAUCUGGGAAAGACAAAAUUUUAUCUCGGCCUACAGAUUAAGCAUUUGACAAAUGAAAUUUUUAUCUAUCAAUCAACAUACAUUGAAAAGAUCUUAAAGCAAUUUUACAUAGAUAAAUCACAUUCAUUGAGUACCCCAAUGGUCGUGAGAUUGCUUGAUAUAAACAAAAAUCUAUUUUGACCUCAAGAAAAUGAUGAAAAGCUUCUUGGUGAUGAAACUCCAUAUCUUAAUGCAAUCGGGGCACUAAUGUAUCUUACCAAUAAUACUCGAUCAAAUAUUUAUUUUAUGGUAAGUUUAUUGGCAAGAUUCAGCUCUUCUCCAACUAAAAUACAUUGGAAUGGUAUCAAACAUGUACUCAAAUAUCUUCGGGGAACCAUUGACUUGGGAUUAUUUUAUUCAAAUGAAUCCAAGUCAGAAAUGAUUGGUUAUGAGGAUGCAGGAUACUUAUCUGAUCCACAUAAGGCUUGAUCUCAGACGGGUUAUUUAUUUACAUAUAGUGGCAAAACUAUAUCAUGGCGUUCAAUGAAGUAAACAUUAGUUGCAAAUUCUUCAAAUCAUGCAGAAAUUAUUACUAUUCAUGAAGCAAGCCGAAAGUGUGUUUGACUGAGAUUAAUGACUCAACAUAUUCAGAAAAUGUGCGGAUUUCCUUUGAAUAAGGAUAUUCCAACUACAUUGUAUAAAGAUAAUGUUGUAUGUAUAGCUCAGUUGAAGGGGGAUUACAUUAAAGGAGCCAGAACAAAACACAUUUCACCAAAAUUCUUUUUCACUCAUGAUCUUGAGAAGAAAGGUGAAAUAGAUGUUCAACAAAUUCGUUCAAUCGAUAAUCUAGCAGGUAUGUUCACUAAAGCAUUGCCAACAUCAACCUUUGAGAAGUUGAGAUACAAGAUUGGGAUGCGUCGUCUCCUAGAUAUUAAGUGAUGUUUUUAUCAAGGGGAGUACAUACGCACUGCACUCUUUUUUCCUUAACCAAGGUUUUAUCCCACUGAAUUUUUCUGGUAAGGUCCCACUGGAUUUUUCUGGUAAGGUUUUUAAUGAGGCAGCAAACAAGGCGUAUUACAAAACGCUAUUGUACAUCUUAUUUUCUUUAGAAUUUCUCUUUUACAUGAACAUCCAAGGAGGAGUAUUGUAAAUAAUGUAUUUGGUGGAUGUUCACAUACUACACUAUUGUACUACACUAUUGUAGCUACACAUACUACACAUACUAUUGUAGGAUGUAAAGUUUGUGAAUGUAUUUUCACAUAAUACACUUUUUCCGCAUACUAUUGCCUAUAAAAGGCAUUCCAUUCUACAUUGUAAAUACACACCAAAGUAGAAGAAAAUAAAAUCUUCUCUUAUAUUUAUAGGUCUCUCUCCCCUCACCUUUCAUUUUAGCAUAUUUCAAAAUAUUUGUUUACAAUAGAAGAAUGAUUUUCUAUAGGGAAAAAUUCAUAAAUAGCAUACGUAAGACCAUAAUUAUGAGAUUCAUAGCAACACUUUUAUAAUUACCUAAAGUAGCAACUUGUAUUUGAACAAAUUGUUGCUGUAAAAAUACAUAUACAAAUCUUUUUACUGCCCAUAUUUAACUCAAAUCAGUUGAGUUAAAUAUGGUAUAAUUAACCAUGACUUAAAUGUGGAGAUUCCUUUUCUAUUAAAACCUCUUAAUGAAUGUGAUUUCCGUUAUUUGUUACCAACUGAAAUCAAUAUUCAAAUUUCAGUUUCAAAGUAACGUGUUUAACAAAAAAAAUCAAAAUCACAUUCAUCUGAAACUUUUUCUGUUCAAAAUCUUCGAAAAGUCAAAUUCAACCAUUAUUGUUUUUGAAGGUAUGUAAUCGGAAAGUUUUUAUCUAAUAUGAAUUUCAUAAUGAACAUGAUUUCCGUUAUUUGUUAUCAACUAAAAUCAAAAUUCAAAUUUCAGUUUCAAGUCAACGUUUUCAACCAAAAAAAAUUAAAAUCAAAUUCAUCUGAAGCUUCUUUUGUUCAAAAUCUUCGAAAAUUCAAAUUCAACCAUUACUGUUGUUGAAGGUAUAUAAUCGUGAUUUUUUUUUCUAAUAUGAAUUUCAAAGGUUGUCUGAAAUUGAUGAAAUAAAUUUUGUUCUUAAUUUUUUUACGAACCAUUACUGUUAUUUUGUUCAAAUUUUUUUUUGAUGCAUUACGGAUGUUUUGUUCAAAAUUUUAGUUUCAAUGAUAAAUUAUUUUUGAAGAUUUUAUAAGCAAUUUUCGAAAAAAAAUAAUGAAACCGUAAAUUGAACUGAUCGAACAAUGAAGUGAUCAAAAUCGAUUAAAUUGCUCAAACUCAAUUUUUUUUAGAGUUCUGGUUCUCGAAAAUUAAGAGUAUAUUUUUAUUUUUGUAAAGUCCGAUUAUGAAUAUUUGGCUGUGUUCGAAUAUGGAAAUUGUGGUUGUGUUUGUAUUUUACGUUGAACAAAUAAUUUGUAAUUAUAUUUUCGGCUGAAAAUUUUGAUUGUAUAUGUAUACAUUGUUUACGUAUAUAACUGGAGAUGUUUAUUUUGACCUUUUUUUGUGUAAUUGUAUAUUGUAAUUAUAUUGUAUUUUCGUUAGUAUAUUUUUUGUGAAAUUCUGUAUUUCAUAUUAUAAUUGAAUAUUUCUGUGCACAGUUGUAUAAUUAUCGUUUUAUUUGUAUACUUUGAUUGCUGAUAUUUUUUUUUUGUAGUUUUAAGUAAUUGUAUAUGUAUAUUAUAACUAUUCACAACCUACUGAAAUUUAUUUUUUUGUUAACACUAUUUAGGUGAAAAAAGUAGCAAUGACAAGCGUCCUAAUUCUUGUGAAGCAUUCUGGAAGGUGGACGUAUGAAAAAAAACUAUGAAGAGUACAUUACUGAUGCAAUAUUGUUGAGCACGACAGCGUCAUGCAAUCAACUAUACAAUCUUUUGGCAUCUCACAUUAAUGUGGAUUUGAGAACAAAACGUAUUCAAAUUGAAUAUCAAAUCGCUGAAAAUGCAGACCAAAUACAAAUACAUAAUGAUAUGGGUUUAAAGGUGUUUAUUUUGUAAAAGAAAGAUAUCCAAGACAUGAAUUGUAUUUUGAACUAUAUGUAUUUCUAAUGUCAAAUGCAUACGCAGAUUCCCAUAAUUAUUUACAAAAGAUAUGUAUUCGAAAAUACAUUUAUCGCC